rnacentral:rRNA from 1 species
AUAUUGCGCAAUGGGCGAAAGCCUGACGCAGCCACGCCGCGUGAGUGAGGAAGGCCUUCGGGUUGUAAAGCUCUGUCAUUCGGGAAAAACGGCUAUUCGGGGAAAGUUCGGGUAGCGUGAUGGUACCGAAGAAGGAAGCACAGGCAAACUCUGUGCCAGCAGCCGCGGUAAUACAGAGGGUGCAAGCGUUGUUCGGAAUUACUGGGCGUAAAGCGUGCGUAGUCGGUAUUGAGAGUCACGGGUGAAAUCCCCAAGCUUAACUUGGGAACUGCCUGUGAGACCUCAGUACUAGAGUGUGAGAGGGGAUAGUGGAAUACCCAGUGUAGCGGUGAAAUGCGUAGAGAUUGGGUGGAACACCGGUGGCGAAGGCGGCUAUCUGGCUCACAACUGACGAUCAGGCACGAAAGCGUGGGGAGCAAA